CGCGCCUAGCACGAGGGAGAGAGCGAUCGCUUGUACAGAGAAAUGCACGGAGCUAAAGUUACAUUUAAGGACUGAUUUAAGAGAGAUUUAAUGCAUAUUUGAGUUUGUUUUUUGUUCCGUUCAUCUUCAUUGUUUGAACACCUGGUUGGAAGGGAGAACAAGCUCUUACGGUGUUGUACAGUCUUUAAGGACGGCAAAUGCAACAAUAAAGGCACAAAGGAGGACAGUGCAACAUCAGUGCAUGAGUUUAAUCCUUUUAUUUUUCCAACCGGGCUGUUACA
ensembl:processed_transcript